rnacentral:lncRNA from 10 species
GCCCAGGAGUUGAGUCUGCAGUGAGUCAGGUUUGCUCUCCUGCAAAACAUAGCCUGGGUGACAGAGCAAGACCCUGUCUCAAAACAACAACAACAACAACAAAAAAUCAAACUAAAUCAACAAACAAACAAAAAUCAUUAAGAAUAAGAUCCUUAGUACAAUUCAAUGUUUUAAAAAUAAAAAAUUUAUAUAUUUAACAAAUCUGUUCAAAAAUUAAGUAAAUUGUUACAUAGUUAACAUAAACUGUUAUACACUCAUAUGUUAACAUGCACAUGUUACUCAUAUACAUAUGUAUAUACUUAUACACUUAUAUGUUAACACAUUACAUACUAUUCAACUCAUAACUCAUAUUUUAAAAUUAUCUAAGGACAUUAAAAAUUAUCAUAUUAUAAAGUCAAGUGUAAAAAAUGCACAAACAUUAUCAGUGAGUUUUCAGUUUAUAUGAGUAAGGUGGUGUAUUUUCUUUUCACUGCAGUCUUGAUCUUCCUGUUGAGGGCCAUCCAAGAGCACCAUGAUGAAGUGGAAAGAGAUUGUUCACAAGAAUGAUCACUUACAGAAGACUGAGCCCAAGGCCCUUGCUGAUGGAUUCCCAGACUUAUAUGCAUCCGAGAUUGAAGAACUUAAACAUCUUGCCCUUGCCAUGACCACAAAUCAGAGGUAAAGUUCAAACAAUGCCUCAGAUGUCUCAGAACCAAGCACUUCUGAAGUGUCUGCUGAGCUUAGCAGAGUUUCUGCUGCAGAAUGGGUGACAGUAUAGGGGCAUAAAAGUUUGUUCUAAAAACAGUGGGAAAACGGAGGAACUGUUCUAUAUAUAGAAACAGGAGUAAUAAAAGUCUUUCAUAGCAUAAGAAUGCAACUAGCAGUGACUAAUGUCUUGUGGUUCUUUCUAGAGUAAUAAAAUUUAAUGUCCAUGGACUUUGACCUUCAAAAGACCAAAGACAGGCUGUUUCAAGAACGCGGUCUUGAACAAUUUGUUGACAUCUUCACAAAAGAAAAAUAAUUCUCUAAAUCAGUAACUGAGUCUCCGGAAGGUUUCUUCUUGGAAACCCCCACAUAGUCUCAUGAGCACCUACAAUGACAGAAAGGGGUAAGUCAGCAGCCCCAUGUCUUUGAAAUUAUUGGAUCGAAAUUCUCCUUUCCUUUAGUUAUACCUGCCAUCUCUUUAAUUCAGAAACAAUUCUGAACUUUAGUGAAUUUUUUGCAAUCGUUUUAUUCCUAGCUUAGGACUGUUUCUGCUCCUGAAAAUCAUAGAAUUCCCAGAUUCUGUGGGUGAGAAAUCACUUCAUCAGAGACACAAUAAAAAACAAUCAAUGUUUUGAAAAUGCAAAGUCUGGGUUGGUCACUGUGACUCCUGCCUGUAAUCCCAGCACUCUGGGAGGCCUAGAUGAAUGGAUGGCUUGAGCUCAGGAGUUCGAGAACAGCCUGCGCAACAUGGUGAAACCCUGUCUCUACCAAAAAUGCAAAAAAUUAGCUGGGCAUGGUAGCAUGUGUCUGUAGUCCUAACUACUCAGGAGGCUGAGAUGGGAGGAUCACUUAAGGCAGAGGUUGCAGUGAGCCAAGAUCUGGCCACUACUGCACUCCAGCCUGGGUGACAGAAUGAGACACAGUCUCAAAAAAAAAAAAAAAAAAAAAGGAAGAAAAGUUUGUCACUUGAAAUUUUUUUUAUUAUACUUUAAGUUCUUGAAAUUUUUGAAGUAUCAUAAUAGACACACUCCUAAGGGAAAGAAAAUGGGAAAUUACUAUUUAUUUAUACUAAUGUUUUAAAAUAUAUAUUCUCCCAGUGAUCGUUUGUUUAUAAUGAUUUGAUCAGUUUCGUCUCUAUUUAGUGUACUGGCAACAUCUUUAGACAUCAGCAAGACUCAGGAGUAACAUGUUUUUGUGCUACCCAUAAAAUAAACAAUUUUUUUCUCCAGUCAAUAAUCAUCUCUCAUCUUUCAACACAGUUGCUCUACUGCUUACUAUAGGUCUGUUUUGAGUUAAUUUUCAGUGAAAGGCAGGCAAUUUUAACUAUGAAUCUUCUUUCCUGGAUCAAAUGACCUACCCUCCCCCAAAACAUGACAUGUUAUUCAUAAUCCUGCAGUUUUAUUAAGUCAUGUACUCUUUCGACAAAUAAAGGAGAAUUCAGUUUAACUACUGACUAUCACCAGAUGGAAUGGUUGCUACAAUAAGACAAACAAUCUAGUCAUUGCAAGUAACCAAGAUGAGCAACUUAGUUCUCUGAAAAGUUAUCUAAAUAAAUUACUGGUCAUCAUACAUUUUUGUGCAAAAUGCUAAGAAAUCUUGUUUCUUAUAUAUUCUAGUGAUUAUUGUCCUUCAUUUAUUAUUUUCAAUUAUGUCUCUAAAAUAUAACAACAGGAACAACUAAAACACAGUGUCAAAAGUGAGCUCUUCAUUAAAAAAAAAACAUGCACAGGAUAUUUGGUGCUAGUCCCAGUGGAGAUUUAGGAGAUUUUCAAUCUGUUCAGGCCAAUGAUCAC